CUAAGAAUAUCCGCAAUGGACGGAAGUCUGACGGAGCGACGCCGCGUGGAUGACGAAGGCCGAAAGGUUGUAAAGUUCUUUUGCUGGGGAAGAAUAACCGCAGGAGGGAAUGCCUGUGGGAUGACAAGAACCGGCGAAUAAGCCCCGGCCAACUACGUGCCAGCAGCCGCGGUAACACUAGGGGGCGAGCGUUGUUCGGAAUUACUGGGCGUAAAGGGCAUGUAGGCGGCUUGGAAAGCCUGGCGUGAAAAGUCUGCAGCUUAACUGCAGGGGUGCGCUGGGAACUGCUGAGCUUGAGUGACGGAGAGGGAGCUGGAAUUCCUGGUGUAGGGGUGAAAUCUGUAGAUAUCAGGAAGAACACCGAUGGCGAAGGCAAGCUCCUGGCCGAUGACUGACGCUGAGGUGCGAAAAGUGUGGGGGAUCAAAAGCAGGAUUAGAUACCCUGGUAGUCCACACAGUCAACGAUNUGCACU
rnacentral:rRNA from 1 species